rnacentral:rRNA from 13 species
UCGACCUGAGAUCAGACGAGAUU